rnacentral:rRNA from 1 species
AGCGAACGCUGGCGGCAGGCUUAACACAUGCAAGUCGAGCGGGCGUAGCAAUACGUCAGCGGCAGACGGGUGAGUAACGCGUGGGAACAUACCUUUUGGUUCGGAACAACCCAGGGAAACUUGGGCUAAUACCGGAUAAGCCCUUACGGGGAAAGAUUUAUCGCCGAAGAUUGGCCCGCGUCUGAUUAGCUAGUUGGUGAGGUAACGGCUCACCAAGGCGACGAUCAGUAGCUGGCUGAGAGGAUGAUCAGCCACAUUGGGACUGAGACACGGCCCAAACUCCUACGGGAGGCAGCAGUGGGGAAUAUUGGACAAUGGGGGCAACCCUGAUCCAGCCAUGCCGCGUGAGUGAUGAAGGCCCUAGGGUUGUAAGCUCUUUUGUGCGGGAAGAUAAUGACGGUACCGCAAGAAUAAGCCCCGGCUAACUUCGUGCCAGCCGCCGCCGUAAC